rnacentral:rRNA from 1 species
AUUGAACGCUGGCGGCAGGCCUAACACAUGCAAGUCGAGCGGUAACACAGGGAGCUUGCUCCUGGGUGACGAGCGGCGGACGGGUGAGUAAUGUCUGGGAAACUGCCUGAUGGAGGGGGAUAACUACUGGAAACGGUAGCUAAUACCGCAUAACGUCGCAAGACCAAAGAGGGGGACCUUCGGGCCUCUUGCCAUCAGAUGUGCCCAGAUGGGAUUAGCUAGUAGGUGGGGUAACGGCUCACCUAGGCGACGAUCCCUGGCUGGUCUGAGAGGAUGACCAGCCACACUGGAACUGAGACACGGUCCAGACUCCUACGGGAGGCAGCAGUGGGGAAUAUUGCACAAUGGGCGCGAGCCUGAUGCAGCCAUGCCGCGUGUAUGAAGAAGGCCUUCGGGUUGUAAAGUACUUUCAGCGGGGAGGAAGGUGUUGAGGUUAAUAACCUCAGCAAUUGACGUUACCCGCAGAAGAAGCACCGGCUAACUCCGUGCCAGCCGCCGCAGUAA